rnacentral:rRNA from 1 species
UACAGAGGUCUCAAGCGUUGUUCGGAUUCAUUGGGCGUAAAGGGUGCGUAGGCGGCGCGGUAAGUCGGGUGUGAAAUCUCGGGGCUUAACUCCGAAACUGCAUUCGAUACUACCGUGCUUGAGGACUGGAGAGGAGACUGGAAUUUACGGUGUAGCGGUGAAAUGCGUAGAGAUCGUAAGGAAGACCAGUGGCGAAGGCG